UCCUUAUUUUUUCUUUCUUGUUGUUGAGAUAUGGUUUGGCUACUUUGUUGGCCUUUUGUAAUCAUGAAAACUUUGUGUCAUCAUUGCUUUGGAAAAAUAUGUACUACUCUCCAUCUUCCUCCCUUCUUCUCAAAUUAUUAACUCUUUUCCCCUCUCAUCACUAUAAGUUAACCAUCCUCUUGCACUUUUUUUUUCUAAGCUCAAUCUUAUAUUAUAAUUAAUCUAUUUAUUUUUUCCUAUCUUUUUGUCUCCUAUUUUAUUUCUCUUAGUGAAAGAUCAAAAUGUGUCAUGCAAUUUCAGAUCAUUUAGAGUCAUUUCAACCUUCAUGUUACACUGACCUAGUCCACAAGUCACAAACAUCUAAAACAAACAAGAUACAUGUGCUCAAGCUAAGAAGAAGGAAUGGUGAAAGAUUGUCAAACGAAGCAAAGAAAAGGGCAAAGUUAAGGAAAUUGAAGAAAAUAAUGAAGAUGAAGAAUUUGAAGCUCUACGAAGAGAACAAAAUCAUUAUUGAAGAGAAUGAAAAGUUACGCAAAAGAGCUCUUCUUCUUCAUCAAGAAAACAAAGCCUUAUUCACUCAAAUUAUUCAACAAAUUUCUCAACCCUCUAAUAAUCACAAUUAUUAAUGGCUAAGUUAGCAUCAUAUGAUAAUUAUAGAGCUAAUUAUUAAUUAAGGCACUAUUUAGCUAGAAUAUAUAUACACGUAAUAAAUACCUAUGCAAGUUAUUUCAUUAUUACAAAAAAAAAAAAACAUCAUCUUUGUUUCUUAUAAUUAACGAUUGGUUAUUUACAGUAUUUUAAUUUUGUCAUCUUGUAUUCAAUUACUUAUCACGUGGUGGAAUAAUAAUUUUAAAUGAAGAUUUGAAGGUUAGUUUGAUUUAUUAAGUUGACAAAUCUACUGGAAUAUACAUGAAAAGUGAUUUUUGUUUGCUGUCCAA